UACGGAGGGAGCUAGCGUUAUUCGGAAUUACUGGGCGUAAAGCGCACGUAGGCGGCUUUGUAAGUAAGAGGUGAAAGCCCAGAGCUCAACUCUGGAAUUGCCUUUAGACUGCAUCGCUUGAAUCAUGGAGAGGUCAGUGGAAUUCCGAGUGUAGAGGUGAAAUUCGUAGAUAUUCGGAAGAACACCAGUGGCGAAGGCGGCUGACUGGACAUGUAUUGACGCUGAGGUGCGAAAGCGUGGGAGCAACAGAUGAUG
rnacentral:rRNA from 1 species